AUUUAAAUGACUUAUGGUUUGAAUUUCAUUUUUUAUGACAUAUUUAUGCUUUGAAUUUCAUGUUUGUAUUGUUUUAGAAAACUUAAAAUAUAGUAACUAGUAUAGUCCUACAGACUAUAAGCAUGGUGCUUUUUUAAUCAACAUUCUCAGUCCCCAUUUACUUUGACUGUAUGAAUAGCAGCAUGAAUUAAAAUGCUUAUUUUGUGUUUCACAGAAGAAAGUAAGUUGUGCAUGUUUUGAAGCAAUGUUAGGGUAAGUAAAUGAUGACAUCAAAUAAAAAGUGUAAAAGAAUAAUACAUUUUUGGGUGAACUCUGCAUACAUUUCAGUGUAAACCUCCACAAUCGAUGUCCUACAAAUGAGUUGAGCAGUGAUUUUGUUUGCUGUGCUCUCCUCCUUCGUCUUUGUGCUCUAGCAGGUGUAGUGUAAAGCUGUAAAAGGAUGUAUUGAUUCUUCUCAUCUGGAUGUCAGUGUGUAAGAAAAUCUGCCGGAUGGAACACACAGUGUGUCAUUGCAGCAGUGGGAUAGGACACAGGAAAAGGAAGAUCCUCUUAAUUGAGAUUGGAUGAAUCGAGUCCUUUGUGAAGGAAGGAGGGCCUCAUCGUGGGAUGGAAUUUCAGCUCUUGGCUCGUCAUCUCUGAAGUGGCCAGAGAUUAUCUGUUUGUUUGGGGUAUUGAUCCGUCACUUGAGCCUGCUUGUUGGAACUGUAUACACGUUCAGAUGGGACUUUCACCGGGGUUAAAUUCAGACCUCCGAGGCCCCGCUGCUUAACUCUGAGCGACAGCAUUUAGAACUUAAUGACAAGCGUCUUAGAGUCCGUACGGGAUGACUAAUUCAACUCGAUGGUCAGUUUUAACUCACAGAAGUGCCCUCUUCACUUCCCUUCUCCAUGUGAGCUGUUCACCCUGUCCAAUUCAUUAGCCACUGUGGG
ensembl:lncRNA